AUUGGGGGUGCUAGUAUCGCMGGGCCAGAGGUAAAAUUCUUUAAUUCCGGUGAGACUGCCUUAUGCGAAAGCAUUCACCAAGUGUGUUUUCUUUAAUCAAGAACUAAAGUUGAGGGAUCGAAGACGAUCAGAUACCGUCGUAGUCUCAACCAUAAACUAUGUCGACUAAGCAUUGGGCAAGUGGAUACUUCCUCAGCACUUCACGAGAAAUCAAAGUUUUCGGACUCAGGGGGAAGUAUGCUCGCAAGAGUGAAACUUAAAGGAAUUGACGGAAGGGCACCACCAGGUGUGGAGCC
rnacentral:rRNA from 1 species